GGCCGCGGGAAUUCGAUUCAGGCCUAACACAUGCAAGUCGAACGGUAACAGGUCUUUCGGGAUGCUGACGAGUGGCGAACGGGUGAGUAACACAUCGGAACGUGCCUAGUAGUGUGGGAUAACUACUCGAAAGAGUGGCUAAUACCGCAUGACAUCUAUGGAUAAAAGCAGGGACCUUAGGGCCUUGUGCUACUAGAGCGGCCGAUGGCAGAUUAGGUAGUUGGUGGGAUAAAAGCUUACCAAGCCAACGAUCUGUAGCUGGUCUGAGAGGACGAUCAGCCACACUGGGACUGAGACACGGCCCAGACUCCUACGGGAGGCAGCAGUGGGGAAUUUUGGACAAUGGGGGAAACCCUGAUCCAGCAAGGCCGCGUGCAGGAUGAAGGCCUUCGGGUUGUAAUCUACUGUGUACGGAACGAAAAGCUCUGGGCUAAUACCUCGGAGUCAUGAC
rnacentral:rRNA from 1 species